rnacentral:tRNA from 1 species
UUAAUUGAAGCCAAAAAGAGGCCUAUCACUGUUAAUGAUAUAACUGAGAUUUAUCUCCAAUUAAG